rnacentral:rRNA from 1 species
AUUGAACGCUGGCGGCAUGCUUUACACAUGCAAGUCGAACGGCAGCGCGGGCUUCGGCCUGGCGGCGAGUGGCGAACGGGUGAGUAAUGCAUCGGAACGUGCCCAGUAGUGGGGGAUAGCCCGGCGAAAGCCGGAUUAAUACCGCAUACGACCUGAGGGUGAAAGCGGGGGACCGAAAGGCCUCGCUCUUUUGACUCGCACGUUGACGGAUUAGCUAGUUGGUGGGGUAAAGGCUUACCAAGGCGACGAUCCGUAGCUGGUCUGAGAGGCCGACCAGCCACACUGGGACUGAGACACGGCCCAGACUCCUACGGGAGGCAGCAGUGGGGAAUUUUGGACAAUGGGGGCAACCCUGAUCCAGCCAUGCCGCGUGCGGGAAGAAGGCCUUCGGGUUGUAAACCGCUUUUGUUCGGGAAGAAAUCCUCUGGGCUAAUACCCCGGGGGGAUGACGGUACCGGAAGAAUAAGCACCGGCUAACUACGUG